AGUGAACGCUGGCGGUAGGCCUAACACAUGCAAGUCGAACGGCAGCACAGUAAUAGCUUGCUCUUACGGGUGGCGAGUGGCGGACGGGUGAGGAAUACAUCGGAAUCUACUUUUUCGUGGGGGAUAACGUAGGGAAACUUACGCUAAUACCGCAUACGACCUACGGGUGAAAGCAGGGGAUCUUCGGACCUUGCGCGAUUGAAUGAGCCGAUGUCGGAUUAGCUAGUUGGCGGGGUAAAGGCCCACCAAGGCGACGAUCCGUAGCUGGUCUGAGAGGAUGAUCAGCCACACUGGAACUGAGACACGGUCCAGACUCCUACGGGAGGCAGCAGUGGGGAAUAUUGGACAAUGGGCGCAAGCCUGAUCCAGCCAUACCGCGUGGGUGAAGAAGGCCUUCGGGUUGUAAAGCCCUUUUGUUGGGAAAGAAAAGCAGCAGGUUAAUACCCCGCUGUUCUGACGGUACCCAAAGAAUAAGCACCGGCUAACUUCGU
rnacentral:rRNA from 1 species